AUUGAACGCUGGCGGCAGGCCUAACACAUGCAAGUCGAACGGUAACAGGAAGCAGCUUGCUGCUUCGCUGACGAGUGGCGGACGGGUGAGUAAUGUCUGGGAAACUGCCUGAUGGAGGGGGAUAACUACUGGAAACGGUAGCUAAUACCGCAUAACGUCGCAAGACCAAAGAGGGGGACCUUAGGGCCUCUUGCCAUCGGAUGUGCCCAGAUGGGAUUAGCUAGUAGAUGGGGUAACGGCUCACCUAGGCGACGAUCCCUAGCUGGUCUGAGAGGAUGACCAGCCACACUGGAACUGAGACACGGUCCAGACUCCUACGGGAGGCAGCAGUGGGGAAUAUUGCACAAUGGGCGCAAGCCUGAUGCAGCCAUGCCGCGUGUAUGAAGAAGGCCUUCGGGUUGUAAAGUACUUUCAGCGGGGAGGAAGGGAGUAAAGUUAAUACCUUUGCUCAUUGACGUUACCCGCAGAAGAAGCACCGGCUAACUCCGUG
rnacentral:rRNA from 1 species